CAAGGGCCGAGGGAGGCCGACGGCGGGUCUCUCCUCCUGCAGGGUCGCGGGUUCGUCUCCGGAGGGAUCCCCCUCAAGGCGCUGUGGGAGGGCUAGGGAGCAGCGGAGGAGGCGAACAGACAUGAAGAUCCGUAUUGACAGGAAUACCUAUUGAAAUAAAGUGUAAGAAAUUGCUACAAGUUUAAAAGCAGAUGAAUACAGGGCUACCACUCAACACAAUGAGAUUUCAGGGAGGCCAUAAAAUCAGAGUUACAGAUACUUCGUGGAGACAACUGUCGGGUAGGAUUAUUUGCCAAAAUAUUUG